GAAAUUGGUCAGCCACCA
rnacentral:tRNA from 1 species